rnacentral:siRNA from 1 species
CAUAACAUACUGGUAAAUGGG